UACGUAGGGUCCGAGCGUUGUCCGGAAUUAUUGGGCGUAAAGAGCUCGUAGGCGGUCUGUCGCGUCGGCUGUGAAAACUCAGGGCUCAACCCUGAGCCUGCAGUCGAUACGGGCAGACUAGAGUUCGGUAGGGGAGACUGGAAUUCCUGGUGUAGCGGUGAAAUGCGCAGAUAUCAGGAGGAACACCGGUGGCGAAGGCGGGUCUCUGGACAGUUCCUGACACUGAGGCACGAAGGCCAGGGGAGCAAACGGG
rnacentral:rRNA from 1 species